CAAAGCGAAACUGCGAAUGGCUCAUUAUAUAAGUUAUCGUUUAUUUGAUAGUACCUUACUACAUGGAUAACCGUGGUAAUUCUAGAGCUAAUACAUGCUGAAAAUCCCGACUUCGGAAGGGAUGUAUUUAUUAGAUACAAAACCAAUGCCCUUCGGGGCUCUCUUGGUGAUUCAUGAUAACUUCUCGAAUCGCACGGCCCCGCGCCGGCGAUGGUUCAUUCAAAUUUCUUCCCUAUCAACUUUCGAUGCUACGGUAUUGUCCUAGCAUGGUUGCAACGGGUGACGGAGGGUUAGGGCUCGACCCCGGAGAAGGAGCCUGAGAAACGGCUACUACAUCCAAGGAAGGCAGCAGGCGCGCAAAUUACCCAAUCCCGAUACGGGGAGGUAGUGACGAUAAAUACCGAUACAGGGCUCUUUUGGGUCCUGUAAUUGGAAUGAGUACAAUUCAAAUCCCUUAACGAGGAACAAUUGGAGGGCAAGUCUGGUGCCAGCAGCCGCGGUAAUUCCAGCUCCAAUAGCGUAUAUUAAAGUUGUUGUGGUUAAAAAGCUCGUA
rnacentral:rRNA from 1 species